rnacentral:rRNA from 1 species
GUUUUUUUGUAAAUAAUUUAAAGUCGAAUUUGCCCACUGAUUUAAUUAAAGGGCUGCAGUAAAUUGACUGUACAAAGGUAGCAUAAUCAUUAGUCUUUUAAUUGAAGACUUGUAUGAAAGAUUUGAUGAGAUAUAUACUGUCUCUUUUUUAUAUUUAGAAUUUAAUUUUUUAGUAAAAAAGCUAAAAUUUUUUUAAAAGACGAGAAGACCCUAUAGAGUUUUAUUAUUAUUAUAAUUUUAAUUUUUUAUUAAUGUUUAAUAGAAAUUAUAUUAAUAAUUUUAUUGGGGUGAUAAAGAAAUUAAAUAAACUUUUUUUUUAAUUAAACAUUAAUUUAUGAAAAAAUGAUCCAUAAUUUAUGAUUAUAAGAAAAAAUUACCUUAGGGAUAACAGCGUAAUUUUUUUUUUUAGUUCUUAUAAAAAAAAAAGUUUGCGACCUCGAUGUUGGAUUAAAAUAAAAUUUAAAUGUAAAAGUUUAAAAUUUUGAUCUGUUCGAUCAUUAAAAUCUUACA